AAAAAGACAAACCCUGAGUUUUCGUGUCCAACAUUUAACUGUCCGUCUUAUAUGAAAUUUUUUAUAAUUAGUAUUUUCAUUGUUUUUAGAGGAUAAAACAUGAUUAAUACUUUAUGCAUGACUUAUUUUUUUAAUUUUUUUAUAAUUUUUUCAAAUAAAACGGACAGUUAAACGUUGGACACGGAAACUCAGGUUUGUUUUUUUU
rfam:Oryza nivara chromosome 10, whole genome shotgun sequence.